UACAGAGGGGGCAAGCGUUGUUCGGAAUCACUGGGCGUAAAGGGAGCGUAGGCGGCGUGGUAAGUCAGAUGUGAAAUCCCGGGGCUCAACCCCGGAACUGCAUCCGAUACUGCCAUGCUAGAGGAUUGGAGAGGUAGCUGGAAUUCUUGGUGUAGCAGUGAAAUGCGUAGAGAUCAAGAGGAACACUCGUGGCGAAAGCGAGCUACUGGACAAUUCCUGACGCUGAGGCUCGAAGGCUAGGGUAGCGAAAGGG
rnacentral:rRNA from 1 species